UCCCGGCAGCCCGAGUUGUGGCCACUAUUACUGGGCUUGAAGCGCCUGUAGCCGGACUAAUCCGUCUUUGGUUAAAUCCUCCAGCUUAACUGGGGGGCCGCUGAAGAUACCAUUAGCCUAGGGACCGGUAGAGGGUAGAGGUAUUACACAGGUAGGGGUAAAAUCCGUUAAUCUGUGUAGGACCACCAGUAGCGAAGGCGUCUACCUAGAACGGGUCCGACGGUGAGAGACGAGAGCCAGGGGAG
rnacentral:rRNA from 1 species